rnacentral:lncRNA from 1 species
GUUCUGGGUUCCUCCUCUCUCCUGUGGGUGAGGGGAGCACCCUGUUGCAACAGAUCAAUAAAGAUCAGGCUUACUAGCUGCUUUGCUUCUCAAUAUUCUCUGGUUGGCCUCUGUUAUCUUCUCCUACCAAUAGGGAACCUAUGUAAGGACUCUAUAUGGGCUCUUGGAUACCCCAUAAGGGAAAAGGGCAAUUUUUGUUUACAACAUGCAUUAUUCACUUUAUUUGUUAUUCCAUCCUUAAUAUAUUAUGAUCCUAUCUCCUUGGGCCUUUUAAACUUUUGCAUAUUAAUUUUUAAUUUUUUUAAAGCGACAUGGCCCUUUCUUUAGGAACAUGAAUGAGGGGAACGACAGAAGACUCACAAAUGCUUCCGGCCUUCUUCAGCGUGAGGGUCAAGGCAACAGAAGAAAAGGGACGAAGGCCACCCCCAGCUCUGCUGAGAAGCCAGGCUUCUCCUGCCUUGAACUGCCGCCUGAGGAGGGGUUGAGAAGGAAAGCAAUACCCCUCCAUCAGCACAGUUGAGAAAUGGGCAACUUUUGACAUCUCCUCUCUUUGAAUUGUUCCACCCGUUGCUCAUUAGAAGAGCCUGUAAAUCAAAUAAACAAGGAAUAUUCGGUGUUAUGCUGGAGGGGAUGCCAGGAAACUGGGACUUAUGUUCACAUGUGGUGGGGGUGUAAAUAUGUCCUUUUUUUUUUUUUUGGCAAAGGCUGUUUAAGGAGAUAUCAGAAAUCACUGGGUUAAAGCUGACCGAAAGUCCAGAGGCAGCAUUAUUAUCAAUUUACGACUGGGCGGAAGUUUCGCAGGCUGUGAAGGACUCGCUCACAAAUCUAUUGACAGCUGCAUGCAUUGUUAUAGCCAGGAAGUGGAAGGGGCAAGCAGAAUAUAAAAUGGAAGAAUGGUAUAAAGAGGUGUGGGAUAUACAGUAGCUAUUAACAUGUGCCAUUAUGGUAAGACAGGGAAUAUACAGGAGAAAUUGUUUUGAGGAAAUAUGGAAGGUGUUUUUAGAAUUUGUACUGUUAAAAUGGAAUUGCAAGAGGUGUUGAAAUUUUGGGAGGUUGGAUAGUUACAAUGGAAUGGUCCCGGUGGUGGGUGCACAUGCUUAUUCUUAUUUAUUUAUGAUUAUAAAUAAAAAAGGGGGAAAGAACCUGUAACUGGACAUUUGCAUAUCUCCUCCUCCCUCCCCAUCCAUUUUCCUUUUGUGUCAUGCCUUCUGAGAUUGUAAAUAAAUAAUAAGGUAAAAAAAACCCCAAACCCUUUCUUUCUGCUUUUUCACAGGAAGAACACAACAGCAAAUUUAAUGGAAAGGAAAUCAAGAUAAGGCAUUCCACAGCCCCAGCCUGUCCUAUCUAGACCUGCUUUCAACCACCAGGACUCUUGGAGACUCCAUGUUCCAUGGUGAUUUAGGAGAGUGCAUUGCCUCAGCCAUGUUUGGGCCAGAGAAAAGCUGGGGGAUAGCGGCCGCGGUCCUCCAGGAAGUCCAAAGGGUCUUGGCUUAUUUCUUGAUUGUGUACACCCUCCUUUUAGGAGGCUUCAUUUGUGCUGGACUGAUACUGCAGUUCCUCACUUAGAGUAGGGAAGGUGGAGGAUUUCGUAUGAGCCACAUUGGAAUGGGGACCAAGCCAAUUUUGCAGAUCACAGCUAUUGGCCAGUUAUUGCAUCUCUCCAAAUUUUGCUGCGACUCAAAAAUGUACAAAUACCCAGGGU